AGAAAUCGCAACCUAUACCAUCUGGCUUAUCCUCCAACUCAGAAUCUUCACCAACGAAGAAGUUUCCCAUCCAAGGGAAUCCUAAUCGAGAAGCCAGUCUACGCUCAGAAAAAUUUCCCCACUGAACCAAGCUUUGUUAUCCCACGUCAGAAAGGAAUCUGGUUGUCCAGAUCCAUUCAUUAAAACCUGUUCUCUUUCCAUACCGCCGUAAUUCCAAGCCUUUGCACAGCAGACCUCGAUAACCUUGUUUUACAAAUGGGUAUUUUCAGUAUGCAAAGAAUCACUUGGAGGAAAAGAG